rnacentral:tRNA from 3 species
CUAGCCUUCCAAGCUAACG